GUCUACGGCCAUACCACCCUGAAUGCACCUGAUUUUGUCUGAUCUCGGAAGCUAAGCAGGGAUGGGCCUAGUUAGUACUUGGAUGGGAGAAUACCAAGUAAUAGUGAUGACCGGGCCAGUAAACA
rnacentral:rRNA from 1 species